GUGGCUGGAGGGCAGUGCAAAGGAUUUUCUAAAUACAAUGUCCAAAAUAACAAGAUUGUUUUUGUUAUAUCUUAAGUUUGACCAACAGUCAUCAAAGUGGAAGGAGGGGCUGAUGCUGUGUUACCCUGUUCUCUCAGCACCAAGGAGAACAUCUUCUUUGUCUGGAGGAAAGUUGCUCAGAAAGAUGAUGGUCUGAAGGAGGUGUUCCUGUAUGAUGGAGGCAUUCAUUACAACAACGGUCGAGAUGGUCAGAGUGAAGAGUUCAAAGGUCGAAGCUCUCAUUUUCCAGAAGAAUUGGAACACGGCAACGCCUCCAUAAUCAUCAGAAAUACAAAGAUAUCUGACAGCGGAGAAUACACCUGUGAUUUUCCUCGUCUUCAGCCACCUUAAAUAUUCCACAUUAAGCUUGUUGUUGUUGAUCCUAUCUUAAAAGACAGAACGGGGGAAAUAUCUGAAGUGAGUCCUGAUUUUAACAACGUUACUCUCUACUUGUCACAUGUAUGUGAUCACAGGCCUGAUAUGAUUCAAAACACGUUAAAUCUGGGGGAUCAUACA